CGCCUUGUCAUCUUUAUAUCUCCACCUGUGCACUUUUUGUAGACCUCUUUUAAAAAGAGGUCUACGUUGCUUCAUUUUACCUCAAUUGUAUGUCAAUAGAAUGUUGUGCCUAUAUAAUAUAUACAACUUUCAGCAACGGAUCUCUUGGCUCUCGCAUCGAUGAAGAACGCAGCGAAAUGCGAUAAGUAAUGUGAAUUGCAGAAUUCAGUGAAUCAUCGAAUCUUUGAACGCACCUUGCGCUCCUUGGUAUUCCGAGGAGCAUGCCUGUUUGAGUGUCAUUAAUAUAAUCUCAAUCCUUUUCUUUUUUGAAAAGGUUUGGAUGUGGGGGUUUGCUGGCCUCUUCAAAAAGUUCAGCUCCCCUGAAAUGCAUUAGCAGAACAACCUUGCUCAUUGGUGUGAUAACUAUCUACGCUUAUGAAUGUGAGGGAACAGUUCAGCUUUCUAACAGUCUUCGGACAAUUCAUCAUUAAUGUGACCUCAAAUCAGGUAGGACUACCCGCUGAACUUAAGCAUAUCAAUA
rnacentral:rRNA from 1 species